AAUAAACUAAAUAAAAUUACAUUUAAAUCCACCUUCAAUAAAAUAUUUCAAUUUCAUAUUCAUUUAAAUAAAUUUAUUGUAAUCCAUUAUAUUCUUAAUUAUAAUCUACAUCUUGAUCUGAAUUAAUUUUUUAUUUUAAUUUUUAAAUAUUAUAAUUCAAAAAAAAUAUUUUUUUAACAACGAUAUAUAAAAUUUUAAAUUAAGUAAAUUUAUUCGUGGAUUAUCAAUUAUUAAACAGAUUCCUCUAAAUGAACUAAAAUACCGCCAUAUUAUUUAAGUUUCAAUAAAUAAUUAUUUACUAUUUUAGUAUUAUAAUUUAAAUUUUUAAUAAUAGGGUAUCUAAU
rnacentral:rRNA from 1 species